AAAUGAGGAUCAUUGACUUAAAUUGGAAUUGAUACCUAGAAAACUUGGUUCUAGCUUGCCACCCCAAAAGGCAACAUAUACACAAGUAUAGACUAUAGGUAACACUGUAGGGUACAGCCUUGGGUAGUCUUAGGGUUUUCCAAGAUAUGAUAUGAUCGGGUUAUUUAUUAGAAUUGGAAAUAGCUAGACGAAUAAGUAGGCUUUAAAAGGACGAAUAAAGAUCGGAAGAGCACAC